rnacentral:lncRNA from 1 species
GUUAAAAUGCAGGUUCUGAUUCAUACCCUGGGAUGAGCCCGAGAUUCUGCAUUUCUGACCAACUCCCAAGUGAGUUCUGCUGGUCGUUUAACAGAUCCAUCCUCUUUCUACACUCGGGACUAAAGGCGCUUUUUCCUACUUCAGGUGCAAUGACUUCAUGUUGGGGACUUGAAAUUGGCCAGUGCUAUAUGUGAAAAUCAGGGCUUUUUUCUCCCCCUACUUUUUUUUUUUUCCUCUUUCUUUUUGGAGAGCUGGUUUACCAGCAUACUUUUGGAGUGGGAGAAUGACCACUGUGUGGUCCAUGGACCCACGAGGCCCAUUUUGAGACUGAUGUGGGCCGUUUAUCACAAGGUUCUGUAUGUUCCACUCUAACAGGGGGCCAUGGUGGUGCUUGGGUCAACUGUCAUUCGUGUCCACUCAGAUCCUAUGUCUAAUAGUCCUUGAAAGAUCUAGGGGUUCUCCUUUCUCCGGUGUAGAAUUACUCAGGUAAAUGGCUAAAGGAGUCUCUGGGGAGGAUUGGGGGAAGAGCUACCACAGAUAUUUGGUGUGGUUUGUUGCAGCAUCCUUCCUCAAAGGGACCUGACCUCCCCUUCAAUCAAUGAGUCCUGGAUCUUAGAGCUGACUCACAUGCAGAAACUGGGUGAGGGAUUGUGAUUUUUAUUAUAGCAGCUGACACCAGCCUUCUGCCCACUUGCUCUUGAUCUUUUCAGUGACAUAAGUCAAGCCAGGCCCUCACUGGCUGCCCGUGAUCUCACCUGCAGACACACCAUGGUCUAUCAGCCACCCCGAGGGGUCCCCGCAGGUCAAGGCUCAGGGUUGUCUUUCUGCUGUGCUUCUCAUUACGACAAUUACUUCCACCUUGCCUCUGAUGGUUCAGUGCCUCCACCUGGACUUUGGUAUUCCAGCGUGGUAUCAUUCCCAUUGACUAUGAAGCCCAAUUCUAAGGCAGCAUCUCCUGCAAAAGAACCACUGCAGAAGUUCUCAGGGACACUGAUGCCUCCCUAACUAGUGGACGCCUCAUUACUGUAGUAAAGGGAGAAUUCUCUUUGCUUUUUACCAGGAUAUUAAUCCUCAGUCACUAAGCUCUUCCUUAUCCAGCCUUAUUUUCUGUCCCUGCCAACCCUGACUCAACACUGUCAAGAUCCAUUCCCAUUCAUGUUCUCCCAGUCCCUGCCAGUAUUUAUUACCCAGGUCCUGUGGCUUUCCUCCCUUGCAGGGAUGCUGCUUCGCUGCCUGAACCUUACUGAGACUUGACCAUAAUUGAUCUACAGCAAAGGGGAGAGGCAGGAGCAGAUCUUCAGGACAGCAAACAUUGUCUGGGAAGGUACCUGACUCAGGGGAGGUCUUUGUCUAAUCAUCUCCUCUAGCAAUUAAGAGGGGCUAACUUCUGCCAGUCCAGUGGUUCCUGGGAAUCUGGGGGUUCAUGUUCUCAGGAACAUCACCCCAGGCUCCCCAUCUUGGGUAUCAGGGCCCUAUAUCUUUCUUAUCAGGGACCUCACUUCCCAUAGGAGAUACACCAGGGCUGUGAAUUCAACUUCCUUUGUUACUAGAACACUCUGAAAAAGAGGGCCUGAACCUGUUUUUUUUUCCUGAUCUGCCUUCCAGCUGCAGGAGAUGAAGGUUUUUAAAAUGCUUCCCUGGAAGCCUUCUGGCAUCCACACUAUGUUCUAAGUUGAUGGUUGGCUGAUCUGAACCUGUCAUUUUCUUCUUUCGCGGUUCCAAUUACAGCUAAAGACAACUAACCAUCUCUACAGACUUUUGCUACCAUAUUGCUCAAGUGCCAGAGCUAUUGCAUAAGCUGAUGUGUCUCCUUCCAGAGGACUCCAUCUUAGUUCACUGCAUAUGAGGAUCUUACAGAACUCAACCGCAAAAUGAGUAACAACGCCUUAUCCCAGUUAAGAAGACUCCUCACCGAGUGACUCUUUGGGUGAGAACUGCAGUCACAUGCUGUAAGAGAGUCAUUUUGAGGUGGAGAAUUCUGCAGAAUUUCAGAAGCACUGGCUUAGUGUGUUGUUUCAGGGGUAAUCUUGUGACAAACCAGGCAUGGAGAGCUAGCUGUGAAAUUCCAGAGAUGAUCUCAAGGUAAUUAGUCUACAGCCCAGCCACUGCUGAGAUGACACCAGCACACGCUCCAGGUGGACCAUGACUCAAGACGGCCACCAGAACAAGGCAUACCGACCUUACACUCAGCACCAUGCCCGCAUGCCUCCCUCUCCAAGUUCCUCUUUUAAGCCCCUCUCCCCAGCCUAAAGUUUGAAAUGUUUCUUGUAAGGAAUGAGCCUGGCCAUUUCCCCAACCGCUGGCUUUUGGAAUAAAGUCACUUUCCUUUUACUGCAUCUCGUCCUCGUUCAUUUGGCUUUACAAGCAGUGAUCAGCCCAGCUUGCGUUUGGCUACAAUCUCAAAAAUUAUAACUUGUCUUAUGUAUCUACUACUAUCA